UCAGCUUAAAUUAUUAAACGUAUUAUCGCAUGAAUAACAAAUCAAUCAAAUUAAUAAACGCGUUCAGGUAGAUAUCAUCAUUUUAUCCUGUCAUAGCAUGCCAUAUAUGUUUAUCUUGUUAAUAGGGCGGGAAUUCCGAUGAUGGGAUUUCUUCGAAGAGCUCGUAGAGAUGAGUUUUUCCUAGUUAUCCCUAAGUGAGAAAAAUUUCAAGACUUCACCAAAGCAUUAGGAUGGUUUACGAACGAUUGUCUGAUAAAAGAUUGUCG
rnacentral:lncRNA from 1 species